UGGGGAAUAUUGCACAAUGGGGGAAACCCUGAUGCAGCAACGCCGCGUGAAGGAAGACGGUUUUCGGAUUGUAAACUUCUUUUCUUAGUGAAGAAACAAAUGACGGUAGCUAAGGAAUAAGCAUCGGCUAACUACGUGCCAGCAGCCGCGGUAAUACGUAGGAUGCGAGCGUUAUCCGGAUUUACUGGGUGUAAAGGGAGCGCAGGCGGGACUGCAAGUUGGAUGUGAAAUACCGCAGCUUAACUGCGGAGCUGCAUCCAAAAACUGUAGUUCUUGAGUGGAGUAGAGGCAAGCGGAAUUCCGAGUGUAGCGGUGAAAUGCGUAGAUAUUCGGAGGAACACCAGUGGCGAAGGCGGCUUGCUGGGCUCUAACUGACGCUGAGGCUCGAAAAGUGUGGGGAGCAAACAGGAUUAGAUACC
rnacentral:rRNA from 1 species